rnacentral:misc_RNA from 1 species
GAACGCACCUUGCGCUCCCUGGUAUUCCGGGGAGCAUGCCUGUUUGAGUGUCAUGAAAUCUUCAACCCACCUCUUUCUUAGUGAAUCUGGUGGUGCUUGGUUUCUGAGCGCUGCUCUGCUUCGGCUUAGCUCGUUCGUAAUGCAUUAGCAUCCGCAACCGAACUUCGGAUUGACUUGGCGUAAUAGACUAUUCGCUGAGGAUUCUAGUUUACUAGAGCCGAGUUGGGUUAAAGGAAGCUCCUAAUCCUAAAGUCUAUUUUUUGAUUAGAUCUCAAAUCAGGUAGGACUACCCGCUGAACUUAAG